rnacentral:rRNA from 1 species
GUGGCAGCCGCCGCGGUAAUACGUAGGAACCGAGCGUUGUCCGGAUUUACUGGGCGUAAAGGGCGCGUAGGCGGCUUAUUAAGUCUCAUGUGAAAUCUCCCGGCUCAACUGGGAGGGGUCAUGGGAAACUGGUAGGCUCGAGGUCAGUAGAGGAAAGCGGAAUUCCCGGAGUAGUGGUGAAAUGCGUAGAUACCGGGAGGAACACCAGAGGCGAAGGCGGCUUUCUGGGCUGCACCUGACGCUGAGGCGCGAGAGCGUGGGGAGCGAACCGGAUUAGAUACCCGGGUAGUCCACGCCCUAAACGAUGGAUACUAGGUAUGGGGGGUAUCGACCCCCUCCGUGCCGUAGCAAACGCGUUAAGUAUCCCGCCUGGGGAGUACGGCCGCAAGGCUAAAACUCGAAGGAAUUGACGGGGGCCCGCACAAGCAGCGGAGCGUGUGGUUUAAUUCGAUGAUAAGCGAAAAACCUUACCAGGGCUUGACAUGCUUCCGACACCCCCGUGAAAGCGGGGUUUCCUUCGGGACGGUUGCACAGAUGUUGCAUGGCUGUCGUCAGCUCGUGCCGUGAGGUGUUGGGUUAAGUCCCGCAACGAGCGCAACCCUUGUCGUUAGUUACCUUUUCUAGCGAGACUGCCCCUAACAAGGGGGAGGAAGGUGGGGAUGACGUCAAGUCAGCACGGCUCUUACGUCCUGGGCUACACACACGCUACAAUGGCCGGCACAGAGGGUUGCCAAGGAGCGAUCCGGAGCUAAUCCCACAAAGCCGGCCCCAGUUGGGAUUGCAGGCUGAAACCCGCCUGCAUGAACGCGGAGUUGCUAGUAACCGCAGGUCAGCACACUGCGGUGAAUACGUUCUCGGGCCUUGCACACACCGCCCGUC